AUUGAACGCUGGCGGCAUGCUUUACACAUGCAAGUCGAACGGUAACAGGCCUUCGGGUGCUGACGAGUGGCGAACGGGUGAGUAAUGCAUCGGAACGUACCCAGAGGUGGGGGAUAACGCAGCGAAAGCUGUGCUAAUACCGCAUGUGAUCUGAGGAUGAAAGCGGGGGACCGAGCAGCAAUGUUUGGCCUCGCGCCUUUGGAGCGGCCGAUGUCGGAUUAGCUAGUUGGUGGUGUAAAGGCCUACCAAGGCGACGAUCCGUAGCUGGUCUGAGAGGACGACCAGCCACAGUGGGACUGAGACACGGCCCAGACUCCUACGGGAGGCAGCAGUGGGGAAUUUUGGACAAUGGGCGCAAGCCUGAUCCAGCAAUGCCGCGUGCGGGAAGAAGGCCUUCGGGUUGUAAACCGCUUUUGGCAGGAACGAAACGGUGUCCGCUAAUACCGGGCGCUAAUGACGGUACCUGCAGAAUAAGCACCGGCUAACUACGUG
rnacentral:rRNA from 1 species